CUUUUUUUUAACGCCUUGAAAAAUAAAUAGCAAUAUAUUGGUGUUUAAAAAACGUUUAAAUUUGCUUAUAUUAGCAAACCUCAAUAAACACAUUAUGGCUAUUCGGUCAGUAGAAAUGUAGGUUUUUACUACCACAAUCACAGCUAAGUGAUUAGAUACCACUUAGUGUAAGUAGAUUUCGUUAGAGGAAUCUAUACUGAGAGACUGUACAGAUAACCAUUAAAAGACUGGAGUAUGAGAUGAAGAACACUAAUGUAGCAAAACUAGGAGCUCUUUACCAUUCUUGGCAAAUUACAAGGCAGUGAAGUCAAAAGUCAUCAAACAUAACUGGCAUGAAUAUUAGAAAAUGAAGUAAAUUUAAUGUGAGACUUGGUCACAAAUAGAUACUCUGACUUCCUCCACACUCCAUCAUUAUUGAAACACUUAAAAAUACCAAUAAGGGACAUUAUUCA